GACGAACGCUGGCGGCGUGCCUAAUACAUGCAAGUCGAACGAAGCUGUUUUAACUGGUGCUUGCACCGACUUAAACAACUGAGUGGCGAACGGGUGAGUAACACGUGGGUAACCUGCCCCAAAGCGGGGGAUAACAUUUGGAAACAGAUGCUAAUACCGCAUAACCACAGAAACCACAUGGUUUCUGUGUCAAAGAUGGUUUCGGCUAUCACUUUGGGAUGGACCCGCGGCGUAUUAGCUAGUUGGUAAGGUAAUGGCUUACCAAGGCAAUGAUACGUAGCCGAACUGAGAGGUUGAUCGGCCACAUUGGGACUGAGACACGGCCCAAACUCCUACGGGAGGCAGCAGUAGGGAAUCUCCCACAAUGGGCGCAAGCCUGAUGGAGCAACACCGCGUGAGUGAAGAAGGGUUUCGGCUCGUAAAACUCUGUUGCUAAAGAAGAACGUAUCUAAGAGUAACUGCUUAGGUAGUGACGGUAUUUAACCAGAAAGCCACGGCUAACUACGUGCCAGCCGCCGCCGUAA
rnacentral:rRNA from 1 species